GCCUCUGAGGAUGAUCAGAAAAUUACUUUCGUUCUUCUGACUUGCCCAUGAGGAAAGUACAUGGAGACCUGAACUGAAGAGGC